rnacentral:rRNA from 1 species
GACGAACGCUGGCGGCGUGCUUAACACAUGCAAGUCGAACGGCAAGGCCCUGCUUUUGUGGGGUGCUCGAGUGGCGAACGGGUGAGUAACACGUGAGUAACCUGCCCUUGACUUUGGGAUAACUUCAGGAAACUGGGGCUAAUACCGGAUAGGAGCUCCCGCUGCAUGGUGGGGGUUGGAAAGUUUCGGCGGUUGGGGAUGGACUCGCGGCUUAUCAGCUUGUUGGUUGGGUAGUGGCUUACCAAGGCUUUGACGGGUAGCCGGCCUGAGAGGGUGACCGGCCACAUUGGGACUGAGAUACGGCCCAGACUCCUACGGGAGGCAGCAGUGGGGAAUAUUGCACAAUGGGCGGAAGUCUGAUGCAGCAACGCCGCGUGCGGGAUGACGGCCUUCGGGUUGUAAACCGCUUUCGCCUGUGACGAAGCGUGAGUGACGGUAAUGGGUAAAGAAGCACCGGCUAACUACGUG